rnacentral:rRNA from 1 species
AGAACGAACGCUGGCGGCAGGCUUAACACAUGCAAGUCGAACGGUUGUAGCAAUACAGCAGUGGCAGACGGGUGAGUAACACGUGGGAACCUUCCUAGGGGUACGGAACAACUCAGGGAAACUUGAGCUAAUACCGUAUACGUCCGUGAGGAGAAAGAUUUAUCGCCCCUAGACGGGCCCGCGUAGGAUUAGGUAGUUGGUGAGGUAACGGCUCACCAAGCCUACGAUCCUUAGCUGAUCUGAGAGGAUGAUCAGCCACACUGGGACUGAGACACGGCCCAGACUCCUACGGGAGGCAGCAGUGGGGAAUCUUGGACAAUGGGCGCAAGCCUGAUCCAGCCAUGCCGCGUGAGUGAUGAAGGCCUUAGGGUUGUAAAGCUCUUUUACCCGGGAAGAUAAUGACGGUACCGGGAGAAUAAGCCCCGGCUAACUUCGUGCCAGCAGCCGC